rnacentral:rRNA from 1 species
AUUGAACGCUGGCGGCAGGCCUAACACAUGCAAGUCGAACGAGUGGCGGACGGGUGAGUAAUGUCUGGGAAACUGCCUGACGGAGGGGGAUAACGAGUGGAAACGGUAGCUAAUACCGCAUACCAUCAGAUGUGCCCAGAGGGGAUUAGCUAGGUGGUGGGGUAACGGCUCACCAAGGCGACGAUCCCUCGCUGGUCUGAGAGGAUGACCAGCCACACUGGAACUGAGACACGGCCCAGACUCCUACGGGAGGCAGCAGUGGGGAAUAUUGCGCAAUGGACGCAAGCCUGAUACAGCAAUGCCGCGUGUAUGAAGAAGGCCUUCGGGUUGUAAAGUACUUUCGGCAGGGAGGCGUUACCCGCAGAGAAAGCAACGGCUAACUCCGUGCCAGCAGCCGCGGUAAUAC